rnacentral:rRNA from 1 species
CCUACGGGUGGCAGCAGUGAGGAAUAUUGGUCAAUGGGCGCGAGCCUGAACCAGCCAAGUAGCGUGAAGGAUGACUGCCCUACGGGUUGUAAACUUCUUUUAUAAAGGAGUAAAGUGAGGCACGUGUGCCUGUUUUGAUGUACUCUAUGAAUAAGGAUCGGCUAACUGCGGGCCAGCAGGCGCGGUAAUAGGGAGGAUUCGAGCGUUAUCCGGAUUUAUUGGGGUUAAAGGGAGCGUAGUUGGGUUGUCAAGUCAGGUGUGAAAGUUGGCGGCUCAAACGUCAAAUUGCAAUUGAUACUGGCGGUCUUGAGUACAGUAGAGGUAGGCGGAAUUCGUGGUGUAGCGGUGAAAUGCUUAGAUAUCACGCAGAACUCCGAUUGCGAAGGCAGCUUACUGCACUGCAACUGACAUUGAUGCACGAAAGUGUGGGUAUCAAACAGGAUUAGAUACCCUAGUAGUC